rnacentral:rRNA from 1 species
GUGGGGAAUAUUGCACAAUGGGCGCAAGCCUGAUGCAGCCAUGCCGCGUGUAUGAAGAAGGCCUUAGGGUUGUAAAGUACUUUCAGUCGGGAGGAAGGCGUUGAUGCUAAUAUCAUCAACGAUUGACGUUACCGACAGAAGAAGCACCGGCUAACUCCGUGCCAGCAGCCGCGGUAAUACGGAGGGUGCAAGCGUUAAUCGGAAUUACUGGGCGUAAAGCGCACGCAGGCGGUUGAUUAAGUUAGAUGUGAAAUCCCCGGGCUUAACCUGGGAAUGGCAUCUAAGACUGGUCAGCUAGAGUCUUGUAGAGGGGGGUAGAAUUCCAUGUGUAGCGGUGAAAUGCGUAGAGAUGUGGAGGAAUACCGGUGGCGAAGGCGGCCCCCUGGACAAAGACUGACGCUCA